CCAUGGUUAGCAGGUUGUUAACCUUUGGAGUAUUUACAAAACGAUAUAGGUGUGCUUAGUAACAAAUAUACAUUUUAAGUGUACAUGAAAGGGAUUUACCUUACUUCAAAUAAUAAGUUGUUUGAUCAACACAUAUUACUACUAUAACUUAGACCGUCUGCCUAAUUUAAAUAAAAGGGGUUUAAACUGUUGGCGGUCCACAAGUAGCAUUAUAC